rnacentral:rRNA from 1 species
UACGUAGGAUGCAAGCGUUGUCCGGAUUUAUUGGGUUUAAAGGGUGCGUAGGCGGCCUAUUAAGUUAGUGGUAAAAACGUUCUGUUUAACCGGAUACCCGCCAUUGAUACUGAUAGACUUGAGUGCGACAGAGGGUGUUGGAAUGUGUGGUGUAGCGGUGAAAUGCUUAGAUAUCACGCAGAACACCAAUUGCGAAGGCAGAUGCCUAUGUCGUAACUGACGCUGAGGCACGAAAGCGUGGGGAGCACACAGG